rnacentral:rRNA from 1 species
AGCGGCGGACGGGUGAGUAACGCGUGGGUAACCUGCCUCAUACACAUGGAUAACAUACCGAAAGGUAUGCUAAUACAAGAUGAUAUAAGAGAUUCGCAUGGAUUUCUUAUCAAAGCUUCGGCGGUAUGAGAUGGACCCGCGUCUGAUUAGCUAGUUGGUAAGGUGACGGCUUACCAAGGCGACGAUCAGUAGCCGACCUGAGAGGGUGAUCGGCCACAUUGGAACUGAGACACGGUCCAAACUCCUACGGGAGGCAGCAGUGGGGAAUAUUGCACAAUGGGCGAAAGCCUGAUGCAGCAACGCCGCGUGAGCGAUGAAGGCCUUCGGGUCGUAAAGCUCUGUCCUCAAGGAAGAUAAUGACGGUACUUGAGGAGGAAGCCCCGGCUAACUACGUGCCAGCAGCAGCGGUAAUACGUAGGGGGCUAGCGUUAUCCGGAUUUACUGGGCGUAAAGGGUGCGUAGGUGGUUUCUUAAGUCAGGAGUGAAAGGCUACGGCUCAACCGUAGUAAGCUCUUGAAACAGGGAAACUUGAGUGCAGGAGAGGAAAGUGGAAUUCCUAGUGUAGCGGUGAAGUGCGUAGAUAUCAGGAGGAACACCAGUAGCGAAGGCGGCUUUCUGGACUGUAACUGACACUGAGGCACGAAAGCGUGGGGAGCAAACAGGAUUAGAUACCCUGGUAGUCCACGCCGUAAACGAUGAGUACUAGGUGU